UAUACAGGUGGUGCAUGGCUGUCGUCAGCUCGUGUCGUGAGAUGUUGGGUUAAGUCCCGCAACGAGCGCAACCCUCGUCCUAUGUUGCCAGCACGUAAUGGUGGGAACUCAUGGGAGACUGCCGGGGUCAACUCGGAGGAAGGUGGGGAUGACGUCAAAUCAUCAUGCCCCUUAUGUCUUGGGCUUCACGCAUGCUACAAUGGCCGAUACAAAGGGCUGCGAUACCGCAAGGUGGAGCGAAUCCCAUAAAGUCGGUCUCAGUUCGGAUUGGGGUCUGCAACUCGACCCCAUGAAGUCGGAGUCGCUAGUAAUCGUAGAUCAGCAACGCUACGGUGUAUACGUUCCCGGGCCUUGUACACACCGCCCGUCAAGUCACGAAAGUCGGUAACACCCGAAGUCCGGUGGCCUAACCGUAAGGAAGGAGCCGUCGAAG
rnacentral:rRNA from 1 species